AUGGCGUGUCGUCAGCUCGUGUCGUGAGAGUGUUGGGUUAAGUCCCCGCAACGAGCGCAACCCUUGCCUUUAGUUGCCAGCAGUUCGGCUGGGCACUCUAAAGGGACUGCCGGUGUUAAACCGGAGGAAGGUGGGGAUGACGUCAAGUCCUCAUGGCCUUUAUGACCAGGGCUACACACGUACUACAAUGGCCGAUACAAAGGGCAGCGACACUGCGAGGUGAAGCCAAUCCCGUAAAAUCGGUCUCAGUCCGGAUUGGAGUCUGCAACUCGACUCCAUGAAGUUGGAAUCGCUAGUAAUCGUGGAUCAGCAUGCCACGGUGAAUACGUUCCCGGGCCUU
rnacentral:rRNA from 1 species